GGCGAACGGGUGAGUAAUGCAUCGGAACGUGUCCUUUUGUGGGGGAUAACCAGUCGAAAGACUGGCUAAUACCGCAUGAGCUCGAGAGAGGAAAGCAGGGGACCGCAAGGCCUUGCGCGAGAGGAGCGGCCGAUGCCGGAUUAGCUAGUUGGUGGGGUAAAAGCCUACCAAGGCGACGAUCCGUAGCUGGUCUGAGAGGACGACCAGCCACACUGGGACUGAGACACGGCCCAGACUCCUACGGGAGGCAGCAGUGGGGAAUUUUGGACAAUGGGGGCAACCCUGAUCCAGCCAUGCCGCGUGUGUGAAGAAGGCCUUCGGGUUGUAAAGCACUUUCGGCCGGAACGAAAUCGCGCGAGCUAACACCCCGCGUGGAUGACGGUACCGGAAGAAGAAGCACCGGCUAACUACGUGCCAGCAGCCGCGGUAAUACGUAGGGUGCAAGCGUUAAUCGGAAUUACUGGGCGUAAAGUGUGCGCAGGUGGCCGCGCAAGUCGAGUGUGAAAGCCCCGGGCUUAACUUGGGAAUUGCGCUCGAAACUACGUGGCUCGAGUGUGGUAGAGGAAGGUGGAAUUCCACGUGUAGCGGUGAAAUGCGUAGAGAUGUGGAGGAACACCGAUGGCGAAGGCAGCCUUCUGGGCCAACACUGACGCUCAUGCACGAAAGCGUGGGGAGCAAACGGGAUUAGAUACCCCGGUAGUCC
rnacentral:rRNA from 1 species